rnacentral:rRNA from 1 species
AUUGAACGUUGGCGGCAUGCCUUACACAUGCAAGUCGAACGGUAACAGGUCUUCGGAUGCUGACGAGUGGCGAACGGGUGAGUAAUGCAUCGGAACGUGCCCAGUAGUGGGGGAUAGCCCGGCGAAAGCCGGAUUAAUACCGCAUACGACCUGAGGGGGAAAGGGGGGGAUCGCAAGACCUCUCGCUAUUGGAGCGGCCGAUGUCAGAUUAGCUAGUUGGUGGGGUAAAGGCCUACCAAGACAACGAUCUGUAGUUGGUCUGAGAGGACGACCAGCCACACUGGGACUGAGACACGGCCCAGACUCCUACGGGAGGCAGCAGUGGGGAAUUUUGGACAAUGGGCGCAAGCCUGAUCCAGCAAUGCCACGUGCAGGAAGAAGGCCUUCGGGUUGUAAACUGCUUUUGUCAGGGAAGAAAUCUUCUGGGUUAAUACCUCGGGAGGAUGACGGUACCUGAAGAAUAAGCACCGGCUAACUACGUGCCAGCCGCCGCAGUAAAAC